rnacentral:lncRNA from 1 species
UCCCUCUCUCGAUGAUGAAAGAGGUCUUUGCCUUGUCAUCGUCGUACAUCAUAAUUUGAUUAUAGCCGGAGUAGGCAUCCAUGAAGCUGAGUAGCUGGUUGCCGGAAGUCGAAUCCACGAGCUGGUCGAUCCUUGGCAAUGGGAAGUUGUCUUUAGGGCAUGCUUUGUUGAGGUCGGUGUAAUCGACGCACACCCUCCAUUUGCCCUUUUCUUGUUUUGCUACCAGAACAACGUUGGCCAGCCAUUCUGAGUAGGAGACCUCUUCAAUAAAUCCAGCGGCUAGAAGCUUGUCGAUCUCGGCUUCAAUGAUCGCGACUCGCUCGGGAGCGAAGUUGCGUCUCUUUUGCACCACGGGCUUGCUGGCAGGGUUGACAUGGAGGCGGUGGCAGAUGAUGUUUGGGUCGAUGCCGGGCAUGUCAGAUGGUGACCACGCGAACAUGUCUUUGUUGUUUUGGAGGAAGGUGGUAAGCUCCACCUUCUCGUCUGGGCUGCUGCUCUGCUCGUCAGACUUUGUAUUUCCUUCACUGUGAAAGGUGACUUCAUCUCGAGAAUAGAUUUAAUUUGGCGUGGGUGUGCCUCUAUACCUCGUUGUGUGACUAAGUACCCCAGGAAUCGGCCGGAUGAUACACCGAACGUGCAUUUACUUGGAUUCAGCUUCAUGCGGUAUUGGCGGAGCAGGCUGAAUGCCUCGGCGAGGUUUUUGAGGUGGUCUCCACGCUUGGGGGCUUUGACCAGCAUAUCAUCCACGUAGACUUCCAUGGUUCUACCGAUCUGCUCCUUGAAAAUCUUAUUCACGAGCCUUUGAUAGGUUGCUCCAGCAUUCUUCAACCCAAAGGGCAUGACCUUGUAGCAGUAGGUCCCUCUCUCGAUGAUGAAAGAGGUCUUUGCCUUGUCAUCGUCGUACAUCAUAAUUUGAUUAUAGCCGGAGUAGGCAUCCAUGAAGCUGAGCAGCUGGUUGCCGGAAGUCGAAUCCACGAGCUGGUCGAUCCUUGGCAAUGGGAAGUUGUCUUUAGGGCAUGCUUUGUUGAGGUCGGUGUAAUCGACGCACACCCUCCAUUUGCCCUUUUCUUGUUUUGCUACCAGAACAACGUUGGCCAGCCAUUCUGAGUAGGAGACCUCUUCAAUAAAU